UUUAUCGAGAGUUUGAUCCUGGCUCAGGACGAACGCUGGCGGCGUGCCUAACACAUGCAAGUCGAGCGAGAAUCUUUGGAUUGAAUCCUUCGGGAGGAAAACUGAAGAGGAAAGCGGCGGACGGGUGAGUAACGCGUGAGUAACCUGCCUUUAGGAGGGGGACAACAUUUCGAAAGGAAUGCUAAUACCGCAUAAUAUCGUAACAUCGCAUGGUGAUACGAUCAAAGUGUUUAGCGCCUAAAGAUGGACUCGCGUCUGAUUAGCUAGUUGGUGGGGUAAAGGCCUACCAAGGCGACGAUCAGUAGCCGAACUGAGAGGUUGAUCGGCCACAUUGGGACUGAGACACGGCCCAGACUCCU
rnacentral:rRNA from 1 species